GUCCGUCGACACGUUCUGGACACGGUUGGACACGUCUCUCGCCUUCGCCAGUUACAUAGCUAUGAUGUGAGGCGUGCCCCGGCGCUGUGAUUCCACCACGUCUGAUGCAUUCCAGGGCUCGGCGCGCGGUGCUCAGGCAGGUCCAGGAGGCGUCUUGACAGCAUAAUGAAUGGCUUCUUCAGCUGCCAAUGGAGCUGCUUUGGUUGGUGUGUUGAAACUAGCGGAACUAGAAAGUGUAUUUAUGAAUGUGUGUGUGUGUGUGUGUGUGUGUUACACCGCUGAAUUGUGGAGGCGGAGCAUUGCAAAGGUGUUUUGUCUUCGGUGAGCAAAAGCACUUCCUGUUGAGCACUCAGGCACCUGCCGGAUUACCCGGGUUACCUGCCGGAGAUGAAUUUAUAUCGGAAUUUCGGAAGUCUAAUGGAAACCUGGGUGGCAGAGGGCCGGUCUGCUCUGGACUCUGACGGAGUUGGGAUCUACAGGUUCUCAGAGGGCCCAACAAGGUCUGAGUCCAAAGACUCUGGAAUGGAAACGGUCAGCGCUGGAACUCCAACCCAAGAGGCUCCGGAUGAAGAGGACGCGUGUUCCCCCGUGGCUCGGCGGCUGGAGAACUCCUCGUCCCCUUCCCUGUUCUCCAUUCAGUCUCUCCACUCAUCCUGCACUUCUCGCAUGUCUCAGGGGCCUCCGGUGGAACAGGCACUACGUCCAACAGACCCGGCUCACAGCCAGAUCCUGAGACACGGACCCCCGCCUCCGAAUUGCCCAGGAUUCCGGGGACGAUCCAAGUCUGUCACCGUGCCGGCACAAUCACGUGGAGUUCAGAAGCGAGGCACCGGCCAGAGAUCCAGCAGCCUCCAACAGACCCCUAAAACAGGGGGUCAAAGGUUACAAACAGACCUGGACCGUAUUUCUGCAGAACAGGACCUGGAGGCCCAGGAUAAUGUCUUUAAGGAGCUGUCCCCUGGUCUGCUGUACCUGGAAGAAGUAUGCCAUGCGCUGGAGAGGAUUGCCCAUCUGCAGAUACAGAAUCGUGGCCUGGAGAUGAAGAUGGAGGUCCUCCAGAACCGACAGUAUGAGCAGUGGGAUGCUGCGGCCUCAUCGUCAAGAUGCAGAACUGCAAGUUUUACAGGCAACAGGCAACAGCCUGAAAGACGUCGCGACCAGCUCAUCCUACCUGGCUUCCGGCGGAGGGCCGCAUCAGACACGGCUUCAUUCACCGGGAGACUCAGUGGGCGCUCCAUGACCAACAGAGUAGAAGACCUACCUGAGGAACCUGAGGAGGAGCACCCAGUAAGAGACAAUGUUCCUCAGCAGGGACGGUUUAGUAAGAUCAAGAUUGGUUCUCUGAAAAGGAAUGAGGCCAAGCCAGACGUUUCAGCCAGAAGAUCACAGACGGUGCCAGCAGAAGCGAAAAAAACCAGCAUGCGCCGCCUGGGGAGCGUGUUCAAGAAGAAGUGA
rnacentral:lncRNA from 1 species